rnacentral:rRNA from 1 species
CCUACGGGGGGCAGCAGUGAGGAAUAUUGGUCAAUGGGCGGAAGCCUGAACCAGCCAAGUCGCGUGAGGGAUUAAGGCCCUGCGGGUCGUAAACCUCUUUUGCCGGGGAGCAGUGGUCCGGACGCGUCCGGACCGGGAGAGUACCCGGAGAAAAAGCAUCGGCUAACUCCGUGCCAGCAGCCGCGGUAAUACGGAGGAUGCGAGCGUUAUCCGGAUUUAUUGGGUUUAAAGGGUGCGUAGGCGGGCAUUUAAGCCGGCGGUCAAAUGUCGGGGCUCAACCCCGGCCUGCCGUCGGAACUGGGUGCCUUGAGUGGGCGAGAAGUAUGCGGAAUGCCUGGUGUAGCGGUGAAAUGCUUUGAUAUCAGGAGGAACAUCGGUGGCGUAAGCGCUUUACUGGGCCGUAAUUGACGCUGAGGAACGAAAGCCAGGGUAGCAAAUGGGAUUAGAUACCCCAGUAGUC